UUAAACUUGUUUCUGACCCUGCACGAGAGAAACUCGGAUAGCCAAAGAUCUGUAGGAGUCAGGUACUUCCUGUUAAAGAUCUGACGUUAGCUGUAGGAGUCAGGUGUUUCCCGUUGAUGUGCCUUUAAAAGGCUGAUGCUUGUUUGCAAUAAACGUCGCCUUGAUCAGACUGUUGUCUUGGCGUCUUUCCUUUCUCUCUGCCCCAUCUCCACCCCGCUGCUCUUUCGGGUUUGAGGCACUGCUGGACAGUGCUCUGCGUUGCCGGUUCGCGACAAGUGGCACCCAAACAGGGACCUGAAAUUGUAGCGGCGAGUGGUGAGUAAUCAGAAGAAGCCUGCUAUCAAAAAGGGCUCGGCCGAGUCGAAACAAGGAGGACACCGCUGUCUGGAACGCCCGGUGGGGAAAAUCCUCGGAGAAGCAGGAACUCCCUCAUCCUGGGCUUCUGGUUGGAUUUUGUCAGUGAGAAGCACCAACAAGAGAUCUGAAAAUUGGAACAAGUCCUUGUAGGUGACCCUCUCUGCAGAGUACUCUGUCUUGUACUCCUACACCUUGUCUUUUUCAGGAUUAAAGUAACCCUUUGAUUUCAGUAACCCUGGGUUAUUGUACCAUUACAUUUUCCCUUAACCCUCAUCC
rnacentral:lncRNA from 1 species